GGGGUUUUUUUUUUUUUUCCCUCGCUGGGAGGUUUUCUGGAGGAAUUGGGGCGCGUGAGCGCAUUAAGUUAUAGGGAAACCCCGAAUUCCUCAGAGGUGGCUGGGGCCGCAUUCUAGACUGUGGUUCCGAAACCAGCUGUGAAUCGCUGUGAGCCUCAUUGGGAUGAUUCUCACCCCUGUGCUGGAUGGUGCCAAAUUCUGAACACCAGUGGCCUACUCGUGGCCUCCAGGUCCUCUGAGACAAACACCCAUCGUCCUUUGUCUGACCAACUCUUACACGUCAAUCACCGGCAAUUUGGACGCCACCUCCUCCGGGAAAUUUCCCUGGAUCUUCAGAAGGUUGCUCUUUGCCUGAGGAUGGAUGUCAGUUGCUGGGUUCGUGCACCUUCCUUCUGCCCCACCAGUCCAUGGUCCAAAUAUAAGAUCCUUUAAACUCCCGUAUGAACCCCUCUAAUCCAAGCCUCUGCAUAAGCCGUUCUACUUUGUUGCACCCUCAUAUUCAACUGAGACUGUUGAAGCUGAGCUCUGGAGAGGACUCCAUCCAGUACCGGCAAACACAUGGCGUUCCUGCCGUCACCACCUCAUCCUUUGUCCAGUUCACGCUCAACGACUGACCACACAAGGCUCGUUAAAAAAGAUUCUUAUUUGGUGAGUCUGGGUGUUUUGCCUGAUGCCCUGGCAGGCCACAGCAAGCCUCCUUCCCUGCUUCCUGAUGUUUGCUUCCUUUAUGUGCUGUUGGGAACUGCACACAAGGCUUCCUGCAUGCUAGGCAGGAGGCAUUCAACGGACUCACAACAGGCCUGCAUCAGCCUUUCAAUCUCUGACUCAACAAUGUGCUAGCACACUUGGUCUGUUGAUCAUCACUGAUCAAGUCCAAAGAUCCUUCUUCCAGUCUUUCUCUGUUACUUUAAAAGAAGGAGAAAGGAUUUGCCGAAUCAGAUUACCAGUUGGCCAGGGAGUUUGAUUGCCAACCACACAUCCUGUCUCUUGUCUUGGGGUACUGGAGCUACAAAGAAGGCUUCCCUAAGAACCAGAGAAGCACCCACUUAAGGGAAGAGAUAAAUUACCUAAGGAGAGUGCCAAAGCACCUCCCACCCCCGCCCCGGCAACCACAGAACUGCUAUGUAGAAGUCUAAGCUGGGGCCCUAUUUUAUGGUGCAUGCCUGUGAUUCCAGUAUGAGGUAGACUGAGGCAGAAGGGCUCCAGCAAAUGUGGUUAUGUCUCAAUAUUCCCUUUACUUUAGUCCCUAAGCAGUGCACCCCAAAACCCAUCAAAGUGCUGGCCAGCCCUUCCUUCCAGCCCUAGCCUAGGAUCCCAGCAGGAGCUGUCAAAAUGGCAGCACCACAGCAGCCCCUCAGCCUACACCCUUGGUGAAACACCACUGCAGGAGCUGUCUACACUGGAAGCAGGUCCUCUCCAUCCUCCCCAAGCAGCUCCACAGAGAUGGCACCUCAGCCAUGAUAGCCUGCAGCCAAGAAGGACUUCUGAUCCUAACCCAUGGGCCCAAUGAAAAGGUGAUGAAAAAGCCACCGAUCCCUGAGCUUCUCAAGCUCAGGACUUGAAAUCCCACCAAUCUUCAAUCUAGAAAUCUCUGCUCUGAGAAGCUCCACCCUCUAAGAAGUCCUAUAUAAGCCCUUCCCUUCCUCCAAUUCCUGCUGUCUGAUCCCAGGAGCGGAGGGCAGCCAUCUGUGGAUGUCUCUCCACCGUGGACCCUCCAAUAAAUCUCUUUCAUGAAA